AUGGACGGUGAAAGGAGGGGAAUCUCCCGUGCGCUUUGUGUUUUCUCUCCUUGGCUCCGGCUCGUGCUCGGCCGGGCCUGUGGUGGUGGUGGUUGUUGUGGUGUGCUUGCGUUGCGUGACAAUGACACGUCCCGAUCAGAAGGAGAUGGAGGACAAGCCGUGGUGGAGGGGAGGACUGGGGAACUGGCAAUCAUCAUCACAAGCCAAGGCUGCGAGCCUUUUGGCCACCCUAUUGUGCUGUGUGGCUUUGUCAGUGACUCACCAGCGCCCUAUGCAGCAUUGCUUGCUACCUUCCAACUGUUCCAGGUAUCUCUCAUACAAUACAUAAUUAGUUUCCAACAAACAAAUAAAGCUAAGUAUCUCUGGUAG
rnacentral:rRNA from 1 species